rnacentral:rRNA from 1 species
CACGGGGAGGUAGUGACGAAAAAUAACGAUACGGGACUCAUCCGAGGCCCCGUAAUCGGAAUGAGUACACUCUAAAUCCUUUUCCAAGGACCCAUUGGAGGGCAAGUCUGGUGCCAGCAGCCGCGGUAAUUCCAGCUCCAAUAGCGUAUAUUAAAGUUGUUGCGGUUAAAAAGCUCGUAGUCGAAUCUGUGUCCCGCGCCGCUGGUUCAUCGCUCGCGGUGUUCAACUGGCGUGUCUCGCGGGACGUCCUGCCGGUGGGCUUUGCGGAUUGAUUUGCCUUGAGCGGUCAUUCGUGGCCCAACUCGUAUCCGUUUUGCGCGGGUGCGAAUCCCAUCGCGGUGCUCUUUAUUGAGUGUCGAGGUGGGCCGGCACGUUUACUUUGAACAAAUUAGAGUGCUUAAAGCAGGCCAAUUUUGCCUGAAUAUUGUGUGCAUGGAAUAAUGGAAUAGGACCUCGGUUCUAUUUUGUUGGUUUUCGGAACCCCGAGGUAAUGAUUAAUAGGAACGGAUGGGGGCAUUCGUAUUGCGACGUUAGAGGUGAAAUUCUUGGAUCGUCGCAAGACGGACAGAAGCGAAAGCAUUUGCCAAAAACGCUUUCAUUGAUCAAGAACGAAAGUUAGAGGUUCGAAGGCGAUCAGAUACCGCCCUAGUUCUAACCAUAAACGAUGCCAGCUAGCGAUCCGCCGACGUUCCUCCGAUGACUCGGCGGGCAGCUUCCGGGAAACCAAAGCUUUUGGGUUCCGGGGGAAGUAUGGUUGCAAAGCUGAAACUUAAAGGAAUUGACGGAAGGGCACCACCAGGAGUGGAGCCUGCGGCUUAAUUUGACUCAACACGGGAAACCUCACCAGGCCC